rnacentral:misc_RNA from 1 species
UUUCCGUAGGUGAACCUGCGGAAGGAUCAUUACAGUAGUCGCCCGGGUUGCCGCAAGGCCUCCCGGGUAACCUACCACCCUUUGUUUAUUACACUUUGUUGCUUUGGCAGGCCUGCCCUCGGGCUGCUGGCUCCGGCCGGCGAGCGCUUGCCAGAGGACCUAAACCCUGUUUGUCUAUACUGUCUGAGUACUAUAUAAUAGUUAAAACUUUCAACAACGGAUCUCUUGGUUCUG